GACGAACUGUCCAAACGUUGUUCGGAAUCACUGGGCUUAAAGGGUGCGUAGGCGGUCUGGUAAGUCGGGGGUGAAAUCCCGCGGCUCAACUGCGGGUCUGCAGUCGAUACGGGCAGGCUAGAGUUCGGUAGGGGAGACUGGAAUUCCUGGUGUAGCGGUGAAAUGCGCAGAUAUCAGGAGGAACACCAGUGGCGAAGGCGGCUCACUGGCCCGAUACUGACGCUGAGGCACGAAAGCGUGGGGAGCAAACAGG
rnacentral:rRNA from 1 species